GUCGUAACAAGGUUUCCGUAGGUGAACCUGCGGAAGGAUCAUUACCACGCGAUCCAAAUCCAACAUCCCAACACACUAGAGAAGUAAACAAAAUGAGCCUUCCUGUGCGGGCUUUAAAUGCACGGGCUUUAAACCACUUUACAACAACUCAACCACUGAACAAAUAAGUGUGCGUGCUUUAACCGGCGCGCCGCUUCAACAACAAUCGCAAACAACUUUCAGCAACGGAUAUCUUGGCUCUUGC
rnacentral:misc_RNA from 1 species